GAAUCAGGUAGGAAUACCCGCUGAACUUAAGCAUAUCAAUAAGCGGAGGAA
rnacentral:rRNA from 1 species